AGGGCUUCCUUACGUAAUGCGCAGUCCAUUUGCUGCCUAUAGGGGAUGAGGUGGAGGAGAGUAUGGCAUUAAAGGGUGUUCGAUUUUAAGAGAGGGAAGAGAAGAAGAGAGCACAUCAUGAGGAAUAACAGAGCUAAAGGACACAGACAAGAAGACGAAUAAGCAUUAUAUGAGCAUCCUGGGAGACUGCCUCUCAACCCAGAAGAAACCAGAGUCUUCAAACCGAGCACAUGAAUGUUAACUAGUAUUUCUACUUAACGACUGCGGCAUGUGGGAUGCGGGGAAAGAUCAAACCUAGAAAAGAUGUUGCCAUCAUAGCAUCUGCCUCCCGUCGAUCCCUGAAUCCCAUUGGAUGCAAGGUCAGUGUAUUUGGAGUCAAAGUUCCAUUUAGCUGAACUAUGACUGGCUCUCUCCAUUGGCAAUGACGGCCUUGUUCUGCACAACGUUGGGCUCCUACUUUUGGUGUGAAAGUCCUGCACACACUGGUAGCUCCAUAAAAGACAACAUGCAGCACAGCCUAGCUCCUCCGUUCUUUUUUAUUGUGUCUUUCCUGCAUUGCUGAAUCACUUUGUCCCAGUAGCCCUACGGGAG